CAGGGUGGCCACCCAGUAGUUAGCACAAGUUAGAAUGUGGGCAACUUGGCAGUCAUUGCGCAGGCACUUUGGUGACUCUAGAUAACCUUGGGCCAUUCGCACGUCCCCGUGACGGCUACAACGCUUUCGGAUGUCUGCCUUUUUAACUUUCGAUGUUACUUUCUGCGCCUACCAUGGUGACCACGGGUAACGGGGAAUCAGGGUUCGGUUCCGCAGAGGGAGCCUGAGAAAUGGCUACCGCAUCCAAGAAAGGCAGCAGGUGCGCAAAUUAUCCAUUCGCGACACGGGGAGGGAGUG